GUUCUGGCGACCCAGGUGGGACCUCGCGGGCAUUGCUGAGGCGGCUCGCAUCGAUCUCGCUCCAGCUGGCACCGAGUGUUUCUUGGGGAGCCAUCGACCGCAACCGACCUCCGCUGCCCCCGACGGACCAGGGAUAUUGGUCUUGUGCCCAAUCGGAAAGGUACCAUAUUUUCUGGUCUGGUAAAAGCCUGCCUGUUAGACACGGCGAAAGCUACGCUUGGUUGGGCUAGGGAGCUCCAGAGGAAAGCCUAGGCGCCGUCAGAAAGAAAGCGAAAGCUCUGCAGGUUCAGCAUCAGUGAUCUGUUCUGCAUUUUCGAACUCUGACGCAGCUACAAAGUGCCCUGAUCUGGAAUCGUCCAUUAUCAUUAGAAAAUCCAGUACACCAAAUUGAGCCAGGAGACCAGGUCUACGUUCGAGAUUGGAAUGAAGAACCACUGAAGGAACGGUGGAAUGG